UACGUAGGCAGCGAGCGUUGUUCGGAGUUACUGGGCGUAAAGAGUGCGUAGGCGGUUUUCUAAGUUUGGUGUGAAAUCUCCCGGCUUAACUGGGAGGGUGCGCCGAAAACUGGAAGGCUUGAGUGUGGGAGAGGUAAGCGGAAUUCCUGGUGUAGCGGUGAAAUGCGUAGAUAUCAGGAGGAACACCUGUGGUGUAGACAGCUUACUGGACCAUGACUGACGCUGAGGCACGAAGGCCAGGGGAGCAAACGGG
rnacentral:rRNA from 1 species